CCUACGGGGGGCAGCAGUGGGGAAUUUUGCGCAAUGCUCGUAAGAGUGACGCAGCGACGCCGCGUGAAUGACGAAGGCCUUCGGGUCGUAAAGUUCUUUCGACAGGGAAGAAAAUGCAUAUAAGUAACUGUGUAUGUAUUGACGGUACCUGUAUAAGCAGCCCCGGCUAACUCCGUGCCAGCAGCCGCGGUAAUCCGGAGGGGGCGAGCGUUGUUCGGAGGGACUGGGCGUAAAGAGCACGUAGGCGGUGUUUUAAGUCAUUAGUCAAAGACUAGAGCUCAACUUUAGUAAGGCUAGUGAUACUAUAAUACUAGAGUAUCAGAGAGGAUUGCAGAAUUCCUGGUGUAGCGGUGAAAUGCGUAGAUAUCAGGAGGAAUACCGUUAGCGAAGGCGGCAAUCUGGCUGGAAACUGACGCUGAUGUGCGAAAGCGUGGGUAGCAAACAGGAUUAGAUACCCGAGUAGUC
rnacentral:rRNA from 1 species